rnacentral:rRNA from 1 species
GAUGAACGCUGGCGGCGUGCUUAAUACAUGCAAGUCGAGCGAAGCGGGGACGGGUGAGUAACACGUGGAUAACCUCCUAUAAGACUGGGAUAACUUCCGGAAACCGGAGCUAACCCGGAUUCGUAUAGAUGGAUCCGCGCUGCAUUAGCUAGUUGGUAAGGUAACGGCUUACCAAGGCAACGAUGCGUAGACGACCUGAGAGGGGGAGCAGCCACACAGGAACUGAGACACGGUCCAGGCUCCUACGGGAGGAAGCAGUAGGGAAUCUGCCGCAAUGGGCGAAAGCCUGACGGUGCAACGCCACGUGGGUGAUGAAGGUCUUCGGUAAGUAAAAUUCUGUUGUUAGGGCAACGGUACCUAAUCAGAAAGCCACGGCUAACUACGUGCCAGCAGCCGCGGUAAUAC